rnacentral:lncRNA from 1 species
GGUACUGCUACCUAGUGGGUCUUGGGGACCUUCGAAAUCGCCGCCGCUCUCACAAUGGCUUGGGUCCAGACUGCGCCACAGCCUCUCGGGAGACGUGGGCCCUCGGAACCUUUUUAGUGCCGGACUCCGGGCCGCAGGCAGUCCCGCGGCAGCAGGAUCACAGAACCUCUGGAUGGACUCUUCCUGGGAAGCUUUGCUACUUUGCAGCAGCUGGACCAUGUUCCUCAUUAACAUCUGUCUGUCCGCUUAGUCAUCACAUCAUUUCACUGUGGUAAGGUGACUUUUUCACCAUGUAUGGCAUCUUAGCUCUGUCAUCUCACAGGUGUUAAGAUCAGCCACAGGUGUGGUGAGACGUUUGACUUUAUCCUUCUUUUUUCAUUGGCAUGUUUGUCACCCACUGGCUCUUGCAUGUGUGUUUCAACCUUGUAAACAAGCCGUUCAAUUCUGUGUGCCUGCCAGAAGAACAGCAUUGGUGCUGCUCACCAUAAGAAAAUGCCCUUUGUUAUUUUAUUAGGUGGCAGGGACUCAGCUCGGAAUUCUGUAUAGAAAAAGCACCUGGAUC